ACGCAUGUCUAGUAUAGCACUUUAUACUGUGAAACUGCGAAUGGCUCAUUAAAUCAGUUAUCGUUUAUUUGAUAGUACCUUACUACAUGGAUACCUGUGGUAAUUCUAGAGCUAAUACAUGCUGAAAACCUCGACUUCGGAAGGGGUGUAUUUAUUAGAUAAAAAACCAAUGCCCUUCGGGGCUCCUUGGUGAAUCAUAAUAACUUAACGAAUCGCAUGGCCUUGCGCCGGCGAUGGUUCAUUCAAAUUUCUGCCCUAUCAACUUUCGAUGGUAGGAUAGUGGCCUACCAUGGUGGCAACGGGUAACGGGGAAUUAGGGUUCGAUUCCGGAGAGGGAGCCUGAGAAACGGCUACCACAUCCAAGGAAGGCAGCAGGCGCGCAAAUUACCCAAUCCCGACACGGGGAGGUAGUGACAAUAAAUACUGAUACGGGGCUCUUUUGGGUCUCGUAAUUGGAAUGAGUACAAUCUAAAUCCCUUAACGAGGAACAAUUGGAGGGCAAGCGGCCCCCCCCCCCCAAACA
rnacentral:rRNA from 1 species